UCUUACUACUUUUGUGGGGAAUGCUCACUACUAAUUCAGAGGGUGAGAGCUGUACAGAGGCAGCCUGUAGUAGAAUAACUGUCUUAAGAAAGCUAAUGAAAUCAGGUGGAGUACUGGGUUAUUCUGCUUCCAUGCCUAGAGCUAGCUCUUGAUAUGGCAAACUCUAAGCCAUGGAGUUCCUGCACAGAAAAUUCAGUGCUGUUUUAUGUGAGGAAAUGGUCUCUUCCUCCCAGGAAAAGGCAUUGUGGGUUUCUUCUGGAAGUACGUGAGCAAUAUGAGAAGAAGGUAGCGUUUGCCUUAGAAAGAGGCAUUUGUGAGAGGCACACCAAAGUUCCUGAGCUCACAGUGCCCUACAAAUGAAGGCCUCUCAUGCCUGGGAAGCUGAAGCCAGCUGGGGAUGAUGGAAGGGCGAGGAAGUGGCAAGUGCAGCAUCGUGGAUCUGCAGCAGAACCAAGCAGAGCCCAGCACAGGCUCCUUCCCUGUGGCCCUGUUGCUGCCCAGGCAGUGGGAAGGUAUUGCAACAUCCUCUGUGGCUGCAUGCGCUGACCUCCAGCAACGUCUGAUGCAGGAUGUUUGAGAGAUGAGGGGGUGAAACCAGCCUGUGCUCACCAGCCGAUCGCCAGCUCUGCAUGCGCUUGGGCUCCUGGUGUGGUUGCAGUCCUGAUGUCCAGGCUCUGGGUCCCUCAGCUUUCUUCUGCCUUCUCAUUCCAGAGCCGAGGGCGAGGAAAAGUGUAACUCCAGGGCCUGCAGCUGCAGGGAGAGCACAGGAGUUAGGAAUUAGAGCUCCUGUAAUUUGCAUCCUUAUAUCGGGAAGCGAUGCAUUAUGAGAACAGCUCAUCUACCACCAGGGAAGGACUCCCAGAAAUCACUUGUACCGCCGGAUUUACAGGUACAAGCAUCCAGUUUUUCAAAGCAACCAAUGCAGAGGGGAAGAGGAGUUCAGCAGCUCUAGAACUGAAACAGAGUUGUAAUUUAAUUCAAGUUAAAACUCCCCCUGCCAGGAGGUCUUUUGGAUAGGAGCAAUUCCCUUGUACAUGAACUCAGUCCUGUGACUCUGCUCCUGAGAGAGAAACUCUGCAUCAGGAAACUGUGUUCUAGCCAGGAUCCCAGUAGAUGAGAAUGCUCAAGGUUAAGGGAUCUAAGGUACAGCACUUAGAAGGUACCAGAGCAUCUCAGAAAAGUGUCAUUUAUUGAUGUCUUGCAAGGAAGAUGUUGAUUCCUUUUUAUAAAUUGCAUUUUCCAUCAAAACUCA